UCUAACAAGUAGUUUGAAGCUCUUUAAUAUAGGUGGGACGGCACAUUUGUCAGCUUUGGCAUUGCUGGUAGACCAAAAGGCCACUGUUAUCCACCAGCCAGUCUGCAGUGGCACGCAUAAUGCAUGCUACAUGUGACAAAUCUGAUGGGGACUCCUUCCUACUCCAAUUUAUAUGGCUGGGAAAGACCAUCACAUGUCCUUUUUAAAGUCAUCCUGACACACUGUGGAAUCAAUAAAAGCAGUUAUGGUGCCUUUCAAGAAACUUCUCCAUGUUUUGCAUGAGCCUCUUGUGGGGGAGGCAAUGAGGUCUCAGCACAAGAAAUUUCAAGUUGUCUGCAUGAAAGUCAAGCAGUGGUUUUGAACUUGGCAAUCAAGUAUUGGAUAGGCCAGUAAACCAAUCAUAUCCUGCCAUGCCCCCCUACAUUGUGUUGAUGAUGGUUUGGAUUCUUGCCUUUACCUAGGAAACACUCCAUGAGAUUGUUGAUGCACCAAAGGCCAUCAGUCACCCAGACAUGGACAGGAGCCUUGGAUAAGGUUUACUCCAAACUCUGCUUGUGGAGCAACACCCAGUAUAUUCAUACAUGGUUACUGGAAAUUUUUGUAACCUUCCUUUCAUGUGACCUCCUCCACCUUCUCUCAAUUUAGGGGUUUGUGAUUUGCCAAAGAAUUCCACAAGUUUGGGACUUUUACCUUUCUCCUUAUUCCAAAAUCUCUAACAUGCUCACUCCUUUGUACACUUUCUUUCAAUCUCUUGGUCUGCUUUUUGUAUCACACCUUUCAAUCUCUCAGUGUUUAGCUUCUACUGGGGCUCAAAAUGAACAAAGCUUUGCACCUGAGUUGUAUUAGUCAGUAAGAUUGACAAAGCUUAAAAUGGAUCGUAAGUUUCAUGUAUGAUCCUCGAAUUUGGCAGAUGAUGAGUAGAUAGAUGCAGAGGGACUGCUUGCUGUGGUUGUCUGUGGAAACAAAUGAGUGCUGAACUCCAUUAGUUCAUCAGAGUGUCAACUUUAUCUUGGUUGUUGUUGUUGUUUGAUGUAGAAAAUUUAUCUCGUUAGUACUCUUUACUAUAAACUGUUUAAAAAUAUAUUUUUAAUGUUUUUUAUUUUUU
rnacentral:lncRNA from 1 species